rnacentral:misc_RNA from 1 species
GAAAUGCGAUAAGUAAUGUGAAUUGCAGAAUUCAGUGAAUCAUCGAAUCUUUGAACGCACAUUGCGCCCGCCAGUAUUCUGGCGGGCAAGCCUGUUCGAGCGUCAUUACAACCCUCAGGCCCCCGGGCCUGGCGUUGGGGAUCGGCGGAAGCCCCCUGCGGGCACAACGCCGUCCCCCAAAUACAGUGGCGGUCCCGCCGCAGCUUCCAUUGCGUAGUAGCUAACACCUCGCAACUGGAGAGCGGCGCGGCCACGCCGUAAAACACCCAACUUCUGAAUGUUGACCUCGAAUCAGGUAGGAAUACCCGCUGAACUUAAGC